CCUACGGGAGGCUGCAGUGGGGAAUAUUGCACAAUGGGGGAAACCCUGAUGCAGCGACGCCGCGUGAGUGAAGAAGUAUUUCGGUACGUAAAGCUCUAUCAGCAGGGAAGAAAAUGACGGUACCUGACUAAGAAGCCCCGGCUAACUACGUGCCAGCAGCCGCGGUAAUACGUAGGGGGCAAGCGUUAUCCGGAUUUACUGGGUGUAAAGGGAGCGUAGACGGCAGCGCAAGUCUGGAGUGAAAUCCCAUGGCUUAACCAUGGGACUGCUUUGGAAACUGUGCAGCUAGAGUGCAGGAGAGGUAAGCGGAAUUCCUAGUGUAGCGGUGAAAUGCGUAGAUAUUAGGAGGAACACCAGUGGCGAAGGCGGCUUACUGGACUGUAACUGACGUUGAGGCUCGAAGGCGUGGGGAGCAAACAGGAUUAGAUACCCCAGUAGUC
rnacentral:rRNA from 1 species